rnacentral:rRNA from 1 species
AAGUCGUAACAAGGUUUCCGUAGGUAAGUUAUCGACUCCACUCCGCUAUUUCUUGAAGACACGUACUAACAUUCUAUGAAGGUGAACCUGCGGAAGGAUCAUUACCGAGUUAGGGUCCUCGUGGCCCGAUCUCCCAACCCUUAUGUUUAUCUACCACGUUGCUUCGGCGGGACCGUCUUUCGAGACCGCCGGAGGGCCGUCACACGCCCUCUGGCCCGUUGCCCGCCGGUGGCCAACCUUCAAAUUCUUUGUUCAACCAUGUUGUCUGAGUCUUAAAUUAUAAAAGCACAAAACUUUCAACAACGGAUCUCUUGGUUCUGGCAUCGAUGAAGAACGCAGCGAAAUGCGAUAAGUAAUGCGAAUUGCAGAAUUUCAGUGAGUCAUCGAAUCUUUGAACGCACAUUGCGCCCUUUGGUAUUCCGAAGGGCAUGCCUGUUCGAGCGUCAUUAUCACCCCUCAAGCCUGGCUUGUUGUUGGACCACGCCUGGAUCUGUUCCUGGCCGGCCCCAAAAGUAAUGACGGCGUCCGCGGGACCCUCAGUGCAACGAGCUUUUCACGAAGCACGCACCGAGUCGCAAGGUCUCUGUGGCACGGUCGACACCUUUUAAUUUUAAGGUUGACCUCGGAUCAGGUAGGAAUACCCGCUGAACUUAA